UUUCUGGCCAGCCCCGCCCCGCUCCCUGGCGCUUGUCUCGGCGCAGAGUGCAGGAGCUCGGUCUUUCUGUCCCCGGCUCGGUGCCCGACUUUCCGGAGCCGAUCCCCAGGGCUCAGUCGUGCGGCCGCCUCCGACCCAGACGCAGGUUGAAAACUACAAGAAAGAAACCAGUGAGCAGAAUGCCUUGAAGCCGGAUCCAAGUGGGUAAUGCCUCCAAGGUGAAGUAGUCUGGCCCGCGUCCCGCCUUGGUAUUAGGGCGUGGUAGCAGAUUCAUCAGCAUUUUGUUGCUGAGAUAGGUGCGGAAGUCCCUACAGAUAAAGAAUGAGGUCCCGGUGAGAGGAUCCCUAAAUGGUCUUGUAGUAAUUGAUUGCACUGAAGGUAGUCUCCCCCAAAUUAUCAGUAUGACAGGUGAGGUUUUUUUGUUUGUUUGUUUUUGUUUUUUUGGUGGAGGAGGUUCGAGCUGGGGAUUCUCUAUGCCUGGCUGCCCUAGAACUCAGAGAUUGGCCCACUUCUGCCACUACAUCUGGCUAUGACAGGUUAGGGACUUUUAAGGUGCGAGCAAAAGGGAGGUUGAAAAGACACUCAUUUGCUAGAUCAUUAGAAUAUGUUGGUAUAGCAUGCUGGGACAAGUUCUUUGCUAGGGCCUAGUCAUGAGCCAGCAGUCAAGAUGUUAUUAACCUGUAUAUUGCUGCAUAUCACUCAUUUUCCAGAAUCUUAAAUAAAAGCUUUUCC